UAUAUGAUGGUGUACAGGGCACAUAAAAUUUUGAUUUUUAAAGAAAGAGUGUAAUUCUUUUUCAUAUAA
rnacentral:tRNA from 1 species